rnacentral:rRNA from 1 species
UACGAAGGGGGCUAGCGUUGCUCGGAAUUACUGGGCGUAAAGGGCGCGUAGGCGGAUAGAUUAGUCAGAGGUGAAAGCCCAGGGCUCAACCUUGGAAUUGCCUUUGAUACUGUCUAUCUUGAGUUCGGAAGAGGUAAGUGGAAUGCCGAGUGUAGAGGUGAAAUUCGUAGAUAUUCGGCGGAACACCAGUGGCGAAGGCGACUUACUGGUCCGAUACUGACGCUGAGGCGCGAAAGCGUGGGGAGCAAACAGG